CAAGGAGUAGUUUAAAAAAAAUAUUAAUUUUGGAGAUUAAUGAUGGGAUGUUUUCCUCUUUGA
rnacentral:tRNA from 1 species